rnacentral:tRNA from 1 species
GGCUCAGUAGCUCAGUCGGUAGAGCAGCGGAUUGAAAAUCCGCGUGUCGGCGGUUCGAUUCCAUCCUGAGCCACCA